rnacentral:rRNA from 1 species
CGGUACGAGAUGAGCCCGCGGCCUAUCAGCUUGUUGGUGGGGUAAUGGCCUACCAAGGCGUCGACGGGUAGCCGGCCUGAGAGGGUGGACGGCCACAUUGGGACUGAGAUACGGCCCAGACUCCUACGGGAGGCAGCAGUGGGGAAUAUUGCACAAUGGGCGCAAGCCUGAUGCAGCGACGCCGCGUGAGGGAUGACGGCCUUCGGGUUGUAAACCUCUUUCGACAGGGACGAAGCUUUUUGUGACGGUACCUGUAUAAGAAGCACCGGCUAACUACGUGCCAGCAGCCGCGGUAAUACGUAGGGUGCGAGCGUUGUCCGGAAUUACUGGGCGUAAAGAGCUCGUAGGUGGUUUGUCGCGUCGUCUGUGAAAUUCCGGGGCUUAACUCCGGGCGUGCAGGCGAUACGGGCAUAACUUGAGUGCUGUAGGGGAGACUGGAAUUCCUGGUGUAGCGGUGGAAUGCGCAGAUAUCAGGAGGAACACCGAUGGCGAAGGCAGGUCUCUGGGCAGUAACUGACGCUGAGGAGCGAAAGCAUGGGGAGCGAACAGGAUUAGAUACCCUGGUAGUCCAUGCCGUAAACGGUGGGCGCUAGGUGUGAGGGUCUUCCACGACUUUCGUGCCGUAGCUAACGCAUUAAGCGCCCCGCCUGGGGAGUACGGCCGCAAGGCUAAAACUCAAAGGAAUUGACGGGGGCCCGCACAAGCGGCGGAGCAU